ensembl:snRNA U2 U2 spliceosomal RNA
AUCACUUCUCGGCCUUUUGGCUAAGAUCAAGUGUAGGAAGUAAAGUUUGGUUAAAAAUAAACAAAAUUUUAAGAGCUAGCAAAUUGUUCCUACAUCCUUGUUUUCCAAAUUUUUCUCCUGGCCUUUCUGUGGUUUAACUCACUCACCUGAUAGCCAAGACCUCAA